rnacentral:rRNA from 1 species
AUUGAACGCUGGCGGAAUGCUUUACACAUACAAGUCGAACGGCAGCACGGACUUCGGUCUGGUGGCGAGUGGCGAACGGGUGAGUAAUGUAUCGGAACGUGCCCAGUCGUGGGGGAUAACGUAGUGAAAAUUACGCUAAUACCGCAUACGAUCUAUGGAUGAAAGCGGGGGAUCGCAAGACCUCGCGCGAUUGGAGCGGCCGAUAUCAGAUUAGGUAGUUGGUGGGGUAAAGGCCCACCAAGCCAACGAUCUGUAGCUGGUCUGAGAGGACGACCAGCCACACUGGAACUGAGACACGGGCCAGACUCCUACGGGAGGCAGCAGUGGGGAAUUUUGGACAAUGGGCGGAAGCCUGAUUCAGCCAUUCCGCGUGCAGGAUGAAGGCCCUCGGGUUGUAAACUGCUUUUGUACAGAACGAAAAGGUUUCUACUAAUACUAGGAGCUCAUGACGGUACUGUAAGAAUAAGCACCGUCUAACUACGUGCCAGCCGCCGCCGUAA